AUUGAACGCUGGCGGCAGGCCUAACACAUGCAAGUCGAACGAGUGGCGGACGGGUGAGUAAUGUCUUGGAAACUGCCUGAUGGAGGGGGAUAACUACUGGAAACAGUAGAUACUGCCGCAUACCAUCGGAUGUGCCCAGAUGGGAUUAGCUAGUAGGUGGGGUAACGGCUCACCUUGGCGACGAUCCCUAGCUGGUCUGAGAGGAUGACCAGCCACACUGGAACUGAGACACGGUCCAGACUCCUACGGGAGGCAGCAGUAGGGAAUAUUGCGCAAUGGGCGCAAGCCUGAUGCAGCCAUGCCGCGUGUAUGAAGAAGGUCUUCGGGUUGUAAAGUACUUUCAGCGAGGAGGCGGUACUCGAAGAAGAAGCACCGGCUAACUCCGUGCCAGCAGCCGCGGUAAUAC
rnacentral:rRNA from 1 species